GGACUUAGUCUAAGAUCUAACUGUAGAUCAGAGUCAUCCCUGGUCCUCCUUCUAUUACAAUGACCGAGAAUUUCAACCAUCAUCCAAAUAAUGGGGAAUAAGCACUCUCAGGCAUAGUGGACUUACCUGAAAUGGAUAUUUAUAGUGGCACGGGAUACUAAUGUCACUUUUCACAAUCUCGACACAUUUGAUUCGGGAGAGUUCAAUGGAGCCUUUCAAUGUGCGCUUCUUCUGUGGAGGGAGAAAAGCACAUUCCAUUUAAAGAAGAGAGAAGACCAUAUUUUUGUCCAGAAUGUGGAUAUGAUUGUUGGAGCUGAAGCAGCUAUUUUAUAUCAUGAGGGAAAAACUGCAUGUUGAAGAAUGGAAUGUAAAAUAGAAAAAGCUGUAGGUCCUAAUGACUUUGGACUCUCCAUGGCAGUCUGGCAUCACCUUUUUCUUCUUUAACAUAAAGAGAAAUAAAAUUACAUUUUCCAA